AGAGUUUGAUCCUGGCUCAGGACGAACGCUGGCGGCGUGCUUAACACAUGCAAGUCGAGCGAGGCUCUCUCCUUCGGGAGGGAUGUCCUAGCGGCGAACGGGUGAGUAACACGUGGGCAACCUGCCCUCCGCUCUGGGAUAACCCCGGGAAACCGGAGCUAAUACCGGAUAUGACCUCGGAAGACAUCUUCUGAGGUGGAAAGAAUUUCGGCGGAGGAUGGGCCCGCGGCCUAUCAGCUUGUUGGUGGGGUAACGGCCCACCAAGGCGACGACGGGUAGCCGGCCUGAGAGGGCGACCGGCCACACUGGGACUGAGACACGGCCCAGACUCCUACGGGAGGCAGCAGUGGGGAAUAUUGCGCAAUGGGCGAAAGCCUGACGCAGCGACGCCGCGUGAGGGAUGAAGGCCUUCGGGUUGUAAACCUCUUUCAGCAGGGACGAAGCGAAAGUGACGGUACCUGCAGAAGAAGCACCGGCCAACUACGUGCCAGCAGCCGCGGUAAUACGUAGGGUGCAAGCGUUGUCCGGAAUUAUUGGGCGUAAAGAGCUCGUAGGCGGUUUGUCGCGUCGGCUGUGAAAACCCGGGGCUCAACCCCGGGCCUGCAGUCGAUACGGGCAAACUAGAGUGUGGUAGGGGAGACUGGAAUUCCUGGUGUAGCGGUGAAAUGCGCAGAUAUCAGGAGGAACACCGGUGGCGAAGGCGGGUCUCUGGGCCAUAACUGACGCUGAGGAGCGAAAGCGUGGGGAGCGAACAGGAUUAGAUACCCUAGUAGUCC
rnacentral:rRNA from 1 species